ACUCAGAUAGGAGCACCACCCAACCCUCAUGAGAAGCUUCUUGUAGUAGAUGGCAAUUAACACACAGAUCGACAACUGGACAAUGUGCGGAGUGAAAGAGCAUCACUCCUAAAUGCGAUGUCAUCAUCAAACCAUUUUCUUCAACACUUGGGGAUCUAUGUGGAAGAGGAGGCAGAAAUACUAUGGGAUGCGUGAGUCCAAGCAAGACAGCAACAUCUUUCAGACACAACAGGACUGAUGUACAUAUGAUAUCAGAGAGACAGUGAAGGCAUUCGCAAGACCAGUAUAGAUUCUAACCACAAAAAAAUGCCAAACUUCGAAGGGAAUAUAUGAUGUGACUAGCUGCUUGAGUUUGUGCCUUGACUUCUCCUUGUUGAUGGACAAUAAAUUGAAUAAACACUUUUCAUCACAAA